CGCGGCUUCCUGGUACGCACCCUGAUCAGCCAUGCCGCGUGAGUGAAGAAGGCCUUCGGGUUGUAAAGCUCUUUCAGUCGGAACGAAACGGUUCGCUCUAACAUAGCGUGCUAAUGACGGUACUGACAGAAGAAGCACCGGCUAACUACGUGCCAGCAGCCGCGGUAAUUA
rnacentral:rRNA from 1 species